GGCUCAUUGAUCAUCGAGUCGACAAGGAAAAAAGAUUCCGGAAACUACUCGUGCAGCCCGUCGAACAGUCCACCGAUCACCGUUUCGCUGCAUGUCAUCAAUGGUGAAUCCUCCGCAUCUGCAGUAACGUCGUCGGCCGGAUCGCUGUUCGAUGACAGUAUAUCAAUGGUUAAGCAGAGGAAUAUCCAUAUUUUACUGCAGCAUAGGUCAUUUUGUUAUGUUACUCGUUUUGGUUAUCUACGCUCAGCUAAGCUGUCGCAUGUACUAGUUAAGAGAAUUUAUCUAAGUUAAUAAAUUUGAAAAUCAUAUACAACAACAUACCAAGCAGCAAAGGAGUCGCAGACACGGGACGAGACACGCGUUCAGCCACCACCCGGCACGUGUACAGAGGUGAGAUUCGGUACGAACCUGGACAUUUGCUCACAAACGUACAUCGACUGAGAUAUUUCAAACUACUGUAGAAAAAAAACGAGUGAAGCGUGAGAAAAAAAAAACUGUUCCCUUCGCGCAUCGUCAUCAUCCAUCGCGGUUUUUUUGGCAGCGAAAAACAGAACAAAUGAAUCACAUUUGAGUAAGAAACAUGCCGAUAUGUAAAAAAAAAUGAAACACACCUAGAGUUUAGAUGCAUCCCAAAUUCUAGAAAAAAAGGUAAAAAAACGAAAUCAAACGACGCAAGCCAGCUGGUAAUUCAUGUUAUCGAAGUAGGCCCGGUGGCAACGCUUCCAGCUGCAUGCGUUAGCCUGCUUGUAUUACAGGAUCACAGUGCACAGUGGGUAGGUAAAGGUACAAAAAGGUAAACAGCAGAUAACUUGGAAACUAUCCCACAAGAGUGUGUAGAGACUUCAAGAGUGUCUCCAAAUAGGAAUGGUGUCAAAAAUGCAUUCGUCGCAUUUCGUUUUUCAAAUUUUUCCAAUCAUUGUGAUGACCCAAUCAAUUUUGAGGUUAUGAGCAGAAGGAAAACAAACAUGUAUUUACACAUGCCUAAGUGCACAUUAAUGUGCGAGCGCUAAACGUCACUCAUCUCAAUGUGUGAGUGGCCAAUAAAAGGAAAACAAAUACACGUUGGUGGGGAAACUCCACGAAGCUGGGGUGCAAAUGAGUAAAUUUUCAUAUACAUUUUUAAGGCUCCCCCGGACCUAAGCGAUUUCAUCGCCGCGGUUAUAUCGUUGGGUCGCCACAUGCAAUGUUCCAUUUACGCUUCCAUACCAACGGCGACAGAAUCGCAGUCGCCAAGCGAUAGAAUCGUGUCGCGAUUAUCGCGUUGCGUGUGUUUGGGGGAACUUUUAUUCAUCUACAAUUUUGAGGUUAUUGUUAUGAGCCAAAAAAAAAACAGAAGUCUAUUAAAGCUAUCAUUGCACUAUUUGUCAUAAUGACAAAUAUUUGUCAAAAGUCAGCCUGAUAUCCUUGUCGAUUUCUAAUCAGUCUGAUAGAUAUCUGGAUAAACUUGACAGAUAUUUGUUAUAAUGACAAACAGUGGACCGUGGACUUUACUUUUGAUGAAGCGAACAUUAGUUUGCGUGCGCCAAACGUAACUUAUCUGAAUAGGCCGGAACCUGAGCUGGAGCAAUCAUCUCAUCCGAAAGUUGUUUGGUCAAUAUGCCAUUUGGAUGAACAAACUAUCAGACUGAAACCCAACUGACCGAAAGUCGUUUGGCUGAAAGUCUCUUGGCCGAAAUGGAAAUACGGCCGAAAAUGUAGUGUGGCCGAAUAGGUCGUUUGGCCGUUUAACCGAAAAUGUCGUUUGGCCGAAGUGAAUGUGGUUACGUCAAGAAAAGACAAGUGACAAGUGAGGAAAAAUUAGAAGUGAGAAAUGAGGAGUGAGAAGUAUGAAGUAAUUAAUAAGAUUUGGCAAAUAUGAUGCCUCACUUCUUUCUUCUCAUUCUUCAUUUGUAUUUUCUCAUUUCUCCUCACAUCACACUUCUCACUUUCCACUGUAGAAAGGAGAAGUGAGACGUCUCACUUCCGCACUUUUCACAGUGAAAAAUGAGAAACGAGGAGUGAAAAGUGAGACGUCUCACCUCCUACUUCCCAUUCAUCAAUCAUAAUAUUCCACACAUUUAUUCAAUCUUUUUGAAACUUUUUAAAAAUUCACUAGUCAAGCUCAACUUGUUCGCCCUAGAGUUUAACCACUCGAGGAACGCAUCGUACGAGGCCCGAAGGUUCGGACAUGGACAAGCACAUGUUCAUCUUGUGCGGUUUCCAACAUAAUCCAGGCAGCAAAGUUCGUGGUUCUGCAAUUCAGAGUUGGAUUUCUUCGCUUCGUGAGCCUGCGACGAGCCCCGUUGGAAAAACUCAAUCCCUCAAAUUAUUACAAAUGACGGUUCGACAACGUUCUUCCAACCUUCCGUCUACGGCUUUCUUCAGCAACGUCUUUAAUUGUUCUUGUUAUGCCUCACCGGGAGAUCAUGAACCUUUCGCAUCUUGUCGAAUAUUUCUUUCAGGUGCCUCUUAACGAGCUUCACCACGGCAACACAGUACCUUGCUACCAACACCAUACUGUUUUUGGGUACUUCCGGUCUUCAGUUAUAUUUCAACUGUAAAGUGUUCAAAGCUUCUGAUCAAACGUAAAUCAGACAGAUAAUUUUCCAGCUCGGAAGAAGGCAACCAAAAUUUAUUUUUCUGAUAAUACUUGAUUAUAAAAGUAACACAUAUUGUGAUCAAAGCAACGAAGAGUCGUCAAUUACAGUUUCAUGUGCAACGCAAUAAUGACUGUUGAAGUGAUGUAGCCAGUGUUGUAAAAUGUCAUUUGCAUUCGUUUGUAUAAUUUUCCCAGAACUUUUUUCAGAAGGUAGCUAUCAAUUCAUGUUGUAUGACGAACUUAUAGCGGUUAAAUGGGCCUACAACUUUGUCUAACGAGACUUUGCUGUAAAUAUGUAAUCUGGGGCGUGGGAGGCAAAAUGUCAUUCAAAUGACAUUAUGUCAAAUGACACGUGACAUUUUGGAGAGUUUUCACUCUCCAGCCUUUGAUGUUAUACUUAGAGCAAUGUGCCCUUGGACAAAAAUAUAACCCUACUCAAGCGUUAUGAGUACAUUCAAAAUUAUGGAAGAAUUUUGCUUCUAAAGAAAGUUAUGAACAAAUUAGUCAAAUGACAUGCAGAUGACAUUUUACAAGCCUGGAUGUAGCUGUUCAAUUGCCUGACCCUUUACUAAUGUGUCGAUACAAACUCUUGUUAUCAAGGUAUUUGUUCCUGGUCGAGAAACACCGUCCUUUACCUCUCUUAUGGAAAGUGACCUAUCCGUUAUGUCUGAUAAAGCGCAAUUUCAGCAGGUCUAGAGUCAAGCCUCACAAGGCCAUCAAGUUAUCACAUCGUCUGAGCUUCGGUAGUACAGUUUUAUCGUUUCCUGCUAGCUCGGCUUACCUUUGAGGCAGUGCAGAUUAGUCACUGGAAAGAGGCUCGGGCUAGUUAUCGCAAGACUGUACUGGACUACGGAGAUUUAUCUAUGGGUGUAAGUACCACCUGUAGACGGAUAUUCGUUCUACUUGGAGUAUUCCCAAUAAGUAACAAACAAAUAUCACUUGAAACACGUCGUUCGAAGCCGAGGAGCUGCAUCAAUACUGUUACUGAAUCCCGGAGAACCGCGUCCUCUCCAGCGUCCUCUCCAAACGUCUAUGAUGCGAUGUGGCCAAUGAGCACCAUGAAGAUUCGAGGCUAAGAAAAUCCCGUACGAAAGAGAUGGGUCUUACAAAGAUACCCCAGUCGGUGAGUUGCCGCAAUAUCUGUUGAAUAGCUUUGGAAAUGUCUAGAAAGACGACGCUUGAGGUUUAUCAUGACGGAGAUAUAGAAAUUAGCAAGAUAUCCAGCUCGAAGUUGUAAAUGUUCAAAGAUUGAAAAGUUUGCUUUGCAUACUAAAAAUGGAUUUCCCUGACGAAAGGUUCGCUUUGUACUGUAUUUCAAGAGUUCAAUCGUUAGAGUUUUGCCAAGAUGGUUUUACUUUUGAUAAAUGUCAUAUAAAAAACCAAUACAUCACGAAUUAGAUCAUCAAAAUGUUCCGGAAACGGGGGUUUGUUUGGCCCCAUUUCUGCAGAUUUCAAAGUGGCCCAUACAAAGUUCUAAACCAUCUCCGCUGGUGGCAGACCAUAAAUGGUUACGGGAUAAUAAAUGCGCCUAAUUUGGGAAGGGGGUGUAACAUCGGUCAUCGCGUUGACGCUUCUAUUCAAAUAUUGGAGUAAGGAACAUUGACUUCACCCUGUCCUUAGUUCUUACCCUAUAGGUACUGCGAAUGAUCUACAUCUGUUUGAGAUCCAGCUUUCAGCAAUAGAAUUGACCAUUCGGAGCUAAGACCGCUUUGCAGUAAUUUAUUUUUGCGUCUUCUGGGUUUGGUAGUCAUUAAUUCGGAAGUGUUUUGCAUUUUUUCCUAAUUUUGUUUGCGAGUGUUUUACUGCCAACAAUCCCAUAUUUGUCCUAAAUGAAAAAAAAUCCAGCAAAGAUGGGACUGAUAUGCGAUCGUAGGCAGUUUAGCUUGAUCCUCUUCACUUAGGUUCCCAGAAGUGAACAUUCCCUUGAAGGUUGCCAACAUAAUAACAUGAGCAUCAUGUAGAAUCAGUGUAAGCAGAUCCUCUUUGCGUAACUUUACUGUUAGAAACUUUGGGCCUUGGAAAACCCCAGAAUCGAAGUCUUCUUCCAGGUUCUCUGCUAAACAUGGAUUUCGAUGGUCUCUCUUCCGGCAUACGCACAAUAUGUCCACCCCACUGUAAUCUGCUGUAUUUUAUCAGCCUACCAAUAAUGUCUGCAUAUAUGUACACUUGGUUCAACUCGUGAUUCAUGCGGCUGGUGAAUGGCGCACCAUCUUCCCUCACGCUGCCAAGUAUUGAGCGCAGUUUUUUCCGCUCAACCACUUCGAGAAUUCGAUAGUCUGCAUCUAUUAACGUCCAUGUUCAUGGCCAAACAGGGCGUCUAAACGAAUCAACGAUGAGUGCAUACCUAAGGCUUGUUCGGGGCAAAAUCUGGACACCCCGGAACACGUGAAACUUUUGAAAUACCUCAUCAACGAGUGAAAUAUUUCGUAUAGUGAUGAACGUUUAUCUGUACUAUCAGAAAUUAUUAAAUUUAUAAGUAUUACAAGUACUUUAUGGA